GGGGAGGGGGCCAGGCUCAGUGGUAGGACACCUGCUUGGCAUGAAGAAGGCCCCAGGUUCAAAACUCUGGCUUCCCCA
rnacentral:tRNA from 1 species